UACGGGGGGGGGUAAGCGUUGUUCGGAAUUACUGGGCGUAAAGGGCCAGUAGGCGGCCAACUAAGUCCGACGUGAAAUCCCCAGGCUCAACCUGGGAACUGCGUCGGAUACUGGAUGGCUUGAAUUCGGGAGAGGGAUGCAGAAUUCCAGGUGUAGCGGUGAAAUGCGUAGAUAUCUGGAGGAAUACCGGUGGCGAAGGCGGCAUCCUGGACCGAAAUUGACGCUGAUCGGCGAAAAGCUAGGGGAGCAAACGGGG
rnacentral:rRNA from 1 species